GAUGAACGCUGGCGGCGUGCCUAAUACAUGCAAGUCGAGCGGACGGACGAGAAGCUUGCUUCUCUGAUGUUAGCGGCGGACGGGUGAGUAACACGUGGAUACCCUACCUAUAAGACUAGGAUAACUUAGGGAAACCGGAGCCAGUACCGGAUGAUAUUUUGAACCGCGUGGUUCAUAAGUGCAAGACGGUCUUGCUGUCACUUAUAGAUGGAUCCGCGCUGCAUUAGCUAGUUGGUAAGGUAACGGCUUACCAAGGCAACGAUGCAUAGCCGACCUGAGAGGGUGAUCGGCCACACUGGAACUGAGACACGGUCCAGACUCCUACGGGAGGCAGCAGUAGGGAAUCUUCGGCGAUGGGCGAAAGCCUGACGAAGCAACGCCGCGUGAGUGAUGAAGGUCUUCGGAUCGUAAAACUCUUUUAGUAGGGAAGAACAUAUGUGUAAGUAACUGUGCACGUCUUGACGGUACCUAAUCAGAAAGCCACGGCUAACUACGUG
rnacentral:rRNA from 1 species